rnacentral:tRNA from 1 species
UCCACUGUGGCUCAAUUGGUAGAGCAUGGCGCUUGCAACGCUACAGUUAUGGGUUCAAUUUCCAUGGGGGAC